rnacentral:rRNA from 1 species
UACAGAGGUCCCGAGCGUUGUUCGGAUUCAUUGGGCGUAAAGGGCGCGUAGGCGGCUUAACAAGUCACUUGUGAAAUCUCCGGGCUUAACUCGGAACGGCCAAGUGAAACUGUCAAGCUAGAGUGCAGAAGGGGCAAUCGGAAUUCUUGGUGUAGCGGUGAAAUGCGUAGAUAUCAAGAGGAACACCUGAGGUGAAGACGGGUUGCUGGGCUGACACUGACGCUGAGGCGCGAAAGCCAGGGGAGCAAACGGG